rnacentral:rRNA from 1 species
AUUGAACGCUGGCGGCAGGCCUAACACAUGCAAGUCGAACGGUAACAGGAAGCAGCUUGCUGCUUCGCUGACGAGUGGCGGACGGGUGAGUAAUGUCUGGGAAACUGCCUGAUGGAGGGGGAUAACUACUGGAAACGGUAGCUAAUACCGCAUAACGUCGCAAGACCAAAGAGGGGGACCUUAGGGCCUCUUGCCAUCGGAUGUGCCCAGAUGGGAUUAGCUAGUAGGUGGGGUAACGGCUCACCUAGGCGACGAUCCCUAGCUGGUCUGAGAGGAUGACCAGCCACACUGGAACUGAGACACGGUCCAGACUCCUACGGGAGGCAGCAGUGGGGAAUAUUGCACAAUGGGCGCAAGCCUGAUGCAGCCAUGCCGCGCGUAUGAAGAAGGCCUUCGGGUUGUAAAGUACUUUCAGCGGGGAGGAAGGGAGUAAAGUUAAUACCUUUGCUCAUCGACGUUACCCGCAGAAGAAGCACCGGCUAACUCCGUG